GGCUUAGAAGCAGCCACUCAUUAAAAGAGUGCGUAAUAGCUCACUGGUCGAGUGACCCUGCGCCGAAAAUUCAACGGGGCUAAACAAUGUACCGAAGCUUGGGAUUCUAGAUUUAUCUAGAGUGGUAGGAGAGCGUCGAAUAAGGGGUGAAGUCAGAGCGGAAGCGCUGGUGGACUUUAUUCGAGUGAGAAUGCCGGAAUGAGUAGCGAGAAUUAUGUGAGAAUCAUAAUGGCCGAAAAUCUAAGGUUUCCUGAGGAAGGUUCGUCCGCUCAGGGUAAGCCGGGGGCUAAGGCGAGGCGGAGACGCGUAGCCGAUGCACAUACGGUUGAAAUUCCGUAGCCACCGAAAGAUUUAAGUACAGGGACGCUUUAGAAGUGAUGUAGCCGGGCGAUGGUUGACCCGGUCGUAAGGGAUCGAAAAUGAGUAGAGAAGUCAUCAUGGAAAGAGACAAGAAAAGCUGUAUGAAUAUCUUAGGUGCCCGUACCGCAAACCGACACAGGUAGAUAGGAAGAAGAUUCUAAGGCCAACGGGAGAAGGGUUGUUAAGGAACUCGGCAAGUUGACCCCGUAACUUCGGGAGAAGGGGUGCCGGUGAAAGCCGGCCGCAGAGAAUAGGCCCAGGCGACUGUUUAGCAAAAACACAGGUCUCUGCUAAAUCGAAAGAUGACGUAUAGGGGCUGACACCUGCCCGGUGCCGGAAGGUUAAGAGGAGAUGUGAGAGCAUUGAAUUGAAGCCCCGGUAAACGGCGGCCGUAACUAUAACGGUCCUAAGGUAGCGAAAUUCCUUGUCAGGUAAGUUCUGACCCGCACGAAAGGCGUAAUGAUUUGGGCACUGUCUCAACAGCCCGCCCGGCGAAAUUGUAGUACCGGUGAAGAUGCCGGUUACCCGCGACAAGACGGAAAGACCCCAUGGAGCUUUACUGUAGCCUAAUAUUGGAUUUCGGUAUUUCACGUACAGGAUAGGUGGGAGACUGGGAAGCACAGGCGUCAGCUUGUGUGGAGUCGACCUUGGGAUACCACUCUUGGAGUGCUGGAAUUCUAACCUGCGGCUUUGAAGCAAGUCGGGGGACAUUGUUAGGUGGGCAGUUUGACUGGGGCGGUCGCCUCCUAAAGAGUAACGGAGGCGCUCAAAGGUUCGCUCUGCAUGGAUGGAAACCAUGCGUCAGAGUGUAAACGCAAAAGCGAGCCUAACUGCGAGAAUGACGGUUCGAGCAGUAACGAAAGUUGGAGUUAGUGAUCCGGCGGUAUGUGAAUGGAAAUGCCGUCGCUCAACGGAUAAAAGCUACCCUGGGGAUAACAGGCUGAUCUCCCCCAAGAGUCCACAUCGACGGGGAGGUUUGGCACCUCGAUGUCGGCUCAUCGCAUCCUGGGGCUGAAUUCGGUCCCAAGGGUUUGGCUGUUCGCCAAUUAAAGCGGUACGCGAGCUGGGUUCAGAACGUCGUGAGACAGUUCGGUCCCUAUCUGUCGUGGGCGCAGGAUAUUUGAAAGGAGCUGUCCCUAGUACGAGAGGACCGGGAUGGACGCACCUCUGGUGCACCAGUUGUCACGCCAGUGGCACAGCUGGGCAGCUAAGUGCGGAUCGGAUAAACGCUGAAAGCAUCUAAGCGUGAAGCCGGCCUUAAGAUAAGAUAUCCCACUGAGAUAAUCAGGUAAGACCCCUUGAAGACUACAAGGUUGAUAGGC
rnacentral:rRNA from 1 species